AGAAGCUUGCAGAGAUGGCGUGGAGUUUCUCCCAAUUUGCACUGGUAUACCUUCCAUGCCAAUUCAACUGAAACGCAUUUUGUUGGUAAAUAUGUUCGAUAAUAUAAAAGACCUUAAACAAGUUUCUAUUUUCAUACUUGCUGGCUUUACUAGCAGAACCAGCACAUGCCUAUAUUCAGAGUUGCACCUAAAAGCUGUUCUAUUUGAAUUUCGUAAUGUUCAGUUGAACUUUGUUUC